rnacentral:rRNA from 1 species
GUAGGACCCGAGCGUUGUCCGGAUUCACUGGGUAUAAAGGGUGCGUAGGCGGCCUUGUGCGUCAGAGGUGAAAUAUCCAGGCUUAACCUGGAGGGUGCCUUUGAUACGGCAGGGCUUGAGUGCGGAAGAGGAUGAUGGAAUUCCUGGUGUAGCGGUGAAAUGCGUAGAUAUCAGGAGGAACACCGGUGGCGAAGGCGGUCAUCUGGUCCGCUACUGACGCUGAGGCACGAAAGCGCGGGGAUCAAGCAGGAUUAGAUACCCUGGUAGUCCGCGCCCUAAACGAUGUAUGCUUGGUGUUGGGUCCGCAAGGACUCAGUGCCGGAGGGAAUCCGGUAAGCAUACCACCUGGGGAGUACGAUCGCAAGGUUG